CUUGUUUAUUAACAGCUGAAUCUACGUUAGUGUUUUGGUGUUUAUACUACUAUUUAACAUGUGACAGACGAAAGUAUUGUACUCUUUCACGUUCACUUUGUAAUAGAUCAGAAAAUAAAAUUCAAGAUACUUCCAAGGAUGGCAUUACCUGUGUAUGUACUCACAGUGGUAUACAUAUUCAGUUUCGUAGGAAGAUCUUUCGGGAGGGGAAACUAUGGAGACUGUAUAAAGUAUGCCGUGUGGGAAAACAAACCUGAGCUUACAAAUGGUGACAGGUUUUGUUUAACAGAAGGCGAUUCUGUGUAUUGUAAGGAAUUUGAGUGUCCUGUCACUGAGUGCGAACAGCCAAUAGUUCCCGAGACAGAUGGAUGUUCUUACUGCAAAGACACAUGUAGUUAUGGAGGAGCCGUUUAUCCAGUUGAACCAGGGUUUCUGAUAGACUGCCUGGAUGGAUCCAACCGCUGUUCAUGUGGCACUAAUAACAGGAUAGCAUCUUCAAGAAGGGGAACAAAUUCAAGAUGGAUGUGUUUAAAGAAAAGAUCUUAUAAAAGCUAACGAUUCAUGAUAAAUGAGAGAAAAAAAAAUUAGAAAAAGGAAACUCUCAAGCUGUUUUUUCCUGUAAUUGUUGUUUUCAAAGAUAAUAGGAAGAAAAAUAAAGAUUCUCGUGUA